AUUAUUAAGGCCUUUAUUUUAUUUCCUUCCAAUUUUUAACAGAAAAGGGUAACAGAAAUAUUAAUGAAGGAGAUAUCAUAAUUGAUCUUAAAAUGGUGGCACAGAAUCGGAGGCCCCGACUGUUUACUAAAAACACAACACAGUGCAAUCAUUAAUAUGGUAGUAUACUGUGUGAAAUUUGCCCAAUGCCAUUAAUAUAAAAGCGGUCAUAGGAAACUGUGACUAAUUGAAAAUCUGGUUAAUAGCGGUCUUAACCAUGAGGAUCCUAAGGUAGCAAAAUAAAUUGGCCAUUAAAUGUGGUCCGGUAUCAAUAAUGUAACGAUGGCCUCACUGUCUCUACAACUUGCUCAGUGAAAUUGAAUUACGCGUGCAG
rnacentral:rRNA from 1 species